UGCACCCUGGAUCACCUACAAUAAAUUCACAACUAUUUUGAUAAUUGUAUAGAAAUAACAUGAAAAGAUGAGAAACAAAGGAAUUAAGAAACAGGUAGAGAAGAGGAGAGGAGUUGGGUCCAUAAUGACAUUUUAACAUCUCGAACAGAGUGAGGAGAGAGGAAGUGAUGGAGGGCAGGAUGAAGUGUAAGACCUUUCAUGUGCAUGUGAGGAGAGAGAAAGAGGUGGAGGGCAGGAUGAAGUUUAAGACGUCUCAUCUACAUGGAGUAUGGAGGAGAGGAAAAAAACAAAACGAGGCGAGGCCAGGCCGGCACAGGCGCUGCUGCUGCGGGCGAACCGUGAGGGGCUCCCCUUCACGGCCCGUCCCCCGAGGGGAGCGCGCCCCCUUCGGGUCAGGCAGUGCCAGGCCGGCACAG